AGCAGCCGCGGUAAUUCCAGCUCCAAUAGCGUAUAUUAAAGUUGUUGCAGUUAAAAAGCUCGUAGUUGAAUUUCGGGAUUGACACAUCGGUCGUGCUUUAAGGGGUAUGAACUGGUGUAGUCAAUUUCUCACCUUCUGGAGAACCGCGAUGCCCUUAAUUGGGUGUCGCGGGGAACCAGGACCUUUACUUUGAAAAAAUUAGAGUGUUUAAAGCAGGCAUUUUGCUUGAAUACAUUAGCAUGGAAUAAUAAAAUAGGACGGCAUGAUUCUAUUUUGUUGGUUUCUAGGAUCACCGUAAUGAUUAAUAGGGAUAGUUGGGGGCAUUAGUAUUCAAUUGUCAGAGGUGAAAUUCUUGGAUUUAUUGAAGACUAACUACUGCGAAAGCAUUUGCCAAGGAUGUUUUCAUUAAUCAAGAACGAAAGUUAGGGGAUCGAAGCGAUCAGAUACCGUCGUAGUCUUAACCAUAAACUAUGCCGACUAGGAAUCAGACGAUGUUAAUUUUUAAAUGACUCGUUUGGCA
rnacentral:rRNA from 1 species